AUAGCGUAUAUUUAAGUUGUUGCAGUUAAAAAGCUCGUAGUUGGAUCUGCGGCCUAGGAUAGCGGUCCCCCAAUGGGUGGUCACUGCUUUUCCUGGCCUAAUAUCUCCGGUUUUCUCUUGCUGCUCUUAAUUGAGUGGCUUGAGUGGCUGGAAAAUUUACUUUGAAAAAAUUAGAGUGCUUAAAGCAGGCGCAAGCCUGAAUAGUGGUGCAUGGAAUAAUGGAAUAGGACCUCGGUUCUAUUUUGUUGGUUUUCGGAGCUCGAGGUAAUGAUUAAGAGGGACAGACGGGGGCAUUAGUAUUGCGACGUUAGAGGUGAAAUUCUUGGAUCGUCGCAAGACUAACUACUG
rnacentral:rRNA from 1 species